rnacentral:rRNA from 1 species
GGACCCGCACAAGCGGUGGAGCAUGUGGUUUAAUUCGAUGCAACGCGAAGAACCUUACCAGGGUUUGACAUCCUGCGAAUCUCUUGGAAACAGGAGAGUGCCUUCGGGAACGCAGUGACAGGUGGUGCAUGGCUGUCGUCAGCUCGUGUCGUGAGAUGUUGGUUAAGUCCCGCAACGAGCGCAACCCACGUCUUUAGUUGCCAGCAUUUAGUUGGGCACUCUAGAGAGACUGCCGGUGAUAAGCCGGAGGAAGGUGGGGAUGACGUCAAGUCCUCAUGGCCUUUAUGUCCAGGGCUACACACGUGUUACAAUGGGGGGCUGACAAAGAGUUGCCAAGCUGCGAAGCUGCGCAAA